ACUGGAAGGCGGAAAUUCCUGGAGAGAGGAGAGACUCAGCAGAUAAACGGAAAUUCAUUUUCUCACAGUUCUGGAGGCUACAAGUUCAAGGUCAUGGUGUCCACAGGGUUGGUUUCUUCUGAGGCUGCCCUCCUUGGCACGUGGAUGGCCGCCUUCUCCCUGUGUCCUCCCAGGGCCGUCCCUCUGGGCGCGGCUGUGUCCUGAUCUCUUCUUGGAAGGGCACCGGUCAGAUUGCAUUAGGACCCAUCUUAAUUACUGUAUUCUAACUUAAUUACCUCUUCAGAGACCCUAUCUUCGAAUGCAUCCUCAUUUGAGGCUCUGGGAGUUAGGACGCGAGCAUACGGAUGUCCGCGGUGGGGGACACAGCCCAGCGCAUACCACGGUGCCUUUGAUAAAGUGAUGGCGGUGUCCAUGGCAGCAGAACUCGUCUCGAAGCCAAGCAGACAAAGAUCCUGGCUUCUUCGCUCCUCCUUAGUCACCAGAUACAGGCUGUGUCCCUGAAGCCAUCAGGGUCUCCCUCAUCGGAAAGUGGCAGACGACGUUGUUGGUUACUUGCUUGGCAGCUGUCUUGCGGCCCUGCGGGAGAAGUUGAGUCUGAAAUCAGGGAGCAGCGAUGCCAACCCAGGAAACAUCUACCAUCAGACUUUCUAAGUGAGGAACAGGCACCUCGUUCCAUUUGCUGGUGUAUUACAUGCCUCAUCUGCCAGAACCUUCUAUGCAAAGUCACCAAUAGCCCUGAAGAAGGAAGAAAUCAGAUUUUCAGAAGAC
rnacentral:lncRNA from 1 species